UACGGAGGGAGCUAGCGUUGUUCGGAAUUACUGGGCGUAAAGCGCACGUAGGCGGCGAUCUAAGUCAGAGGUGAAAGCCCGGGGGCUCAACCCCGGAAUAGCCUUUGAGACUGGAUUGCUUGAAUCCAGGAGAGGUGAGUGGAAUUCCGAGUGUAGAGGUGAAAUUCGUAGAUAUUCGGAAGAACACCAGUGGCGAAGGCGGCUCACUGGACUGGUAUUGACGCUGAGGUGCGAAAGCGUGGGGAGCAAACAGG
rnacentral:rRNA from 1 species